AGGCACGGCCGACUGCUGCAUCUUAUGAUGUAGAGGAAAAUCCGCUCUAGCACUCACUGUGAUGUGAGUAGUGAUCAUGCUAGACCAAAUAAGUCUAGGCACAUUUAUAUGUGACGACUAGUGCAACAGAGACGAGCUUAUUAAGUUAAGAUGCAACGAUGUAAACUCCAUGAGUUAGAAACCCAAAUUUUGGUGGGGGAACCGAGUCUAGGGAAUCGAACCGAAGCCCGGAGGUUAUUUAUUAUAACUUAGAUAAAUAGUUGGCGCUGCGCAAGCAGUACAGAAAGCGGUUUAUAGUG
rnacentral:RNase_P_RNA from 1 species